UACGAAGGGGGCAAGCGUUGUUCGGAUUUACUGGGCGUAAAGGGCGCGUAGGCGGAUGUGUAAGUCAGAGGUGAAAGCCCUGGGCUCAACCCGGGAAUUGCCUUUGAGACUGCAUGUCUUGAGUGUGGGAGAGGGUGGCGGAAUACCCAGUGUAGAGGUGAAAUUCGUAGAUAUUGGGUAGAACACCAGUGGCGAAGGCGGCCACCUGGCCCAUAACUGACGCUGAGGCGCGAAAGCGUGGGGAGCAAACAGG
rnacentral:rRNA from 1 species